CUCAAGCGAGGUAGGAGUCGCGCUGGCAAAUCCGCGUGACAAUCCGAAGACGUGAUGCAUACCGAACUGAAGUAGGGAAAUGUGUGAGCCAGCUGCCAAGAAAAGCCGCUAUUGUUUGUACUGUACCCGUACCGUAAACCGACACAGGUAGGUGAGGAGAGAAUCCUAAGGCCGACGGGAGAAGCAUUGUUAAGGAACUCGGCAAAAUGACUCCGUAACUUCGGGAGAAGGAGUGCCAGUGAGAGCUGGCCGCAGAGAAUUGGCCCAAGCAACUGUUUAGCAAAAACACAGGUCUAUGCAAAACCGUAAGGUGAAGUAUAUGGGCUGACGCCUGCCCGGUGCUGGAAGGUUAAGGGGAGAGGUUAGCGCAAGCGAAGCUUUGAACUUAAGCCCCAGUAAACGGCGGCCGUAACUAUAACGGUCCUAAGGUAGCGAAAUUCCUUGUCGGGUAAGUUCCGACCCGCACGAAAGGCGUAAUGAUUUGGGCACUGUCUCAACAAUGCACCCGGUGAAAUUGAAAUACCAGUGAAGAUGCUGGUUACCUGCGCCAGGACGGAAAGACCCCAUGGAGCUUUACUCCAGCUUGAUACUGGGAUUCGAUAUUGUAUGUACAGGAUAGGUGGGAGGCGAAGAAGCAUUGACGCCAGUUGAUGCGGAGCCGCUGUUGGGAUACCACCCUUGCAGUAUUGGAUUUCUAACCAGCAGCCGUGACCCGGCUGGGGGACAAUGUCAGGCGGGGAGUUUGACUGGGGCGGUCGCCUCCGAAAGGGUAUCGGAGGCGCUCAAAGGUUCCCUCAGAAUGGUUGGAAACCAUUCGAAGAGUGCAAAGGCAGAAGGGAGCUUGACUGCGACACCGACGGGUGGAGCAGGUACGAAAGUAGGACUUAGUGAUCCGGUGGUAUAAAGUGGGAUUGCCAUCGCUCAACGGAUAAAAGCUACCCUGGGAUAACAGGCUUAUCACUCCCAAGAGUUCACAUCGACGGAGUGGUUUGGCACCUCGAUGUCGGCUCAUCGCAUCCUGGGGCUGAAGUAGGUCCCAAGGGUUGGGCUGUUCGCCCAUUAAAGCGGUACGCGAGCUGGGUUCAGAACGUCGUGAGACAGUUCGGUCCCUAUCCGGCGUGGGCGUAGGAUAUUUGAGAGGAGCUGGCCUUAGUACGAGAGGACCGGGCUGGACUGACCGCUGGUGUAUCUGUUGUUCCGCCAGGAGCAUGGCAGAGUAGCCAAGUCAGGAAGGGAUAAACGCUGAAGGCAUCUAAGCGUGAAGCCCCCCCUCAAGAUGAGAUAUCCCAACGCAAGUUGUAAGACCCCUUGAAGACGACAAGGUAGAUAGGGCAGAGGUGGAAGUGCAGUAAUGCAUGGAGCUGACUGUUACUAAUCGGUCGAGGGCAUAAUC
rnacentral:rRNA from 1 species